UCCAGCUGUUUUGGGACUACAGUUCCCAUCAUCCCUGACCACUGGUCCUGGUAGCUAGGGAUGAUGGGAGUUGUAGUCCCAAAACAGCUGGA
rnacentral:miRNA from 1 species